AGCCUCUGGAAGCGAUUAGAGGUUAUACCUGCCCAAUGUUACAUAUUAAUGGCCGCGGUACUCUGACCGUGCUAAGGUAGCACAAUCAAUUGGCCCUUAAUUAGGGUCAGGUAUGAAUGGAGUUACGGGGUUUAGCUGUCUCCUAAUUACUUUUUUGAAGUUGCUGAAUAGGUGAAAAAGCCUGUAUGAGGAAAAAAGACGAGAAGACCCUUAGAGUUUUACUUAAAAAGAAAAAGUUUUCUGACUGGUUUUGUUGGGGCAACAUAGGAAGAAAUAAAACCUCCUAAAACAUAUAUACCGAUGUUCUUAAAUUUGGAUAAACUACCUUAGGGAUAACAGCAUAAUUUUAAAAAUAAGUUUGUGACCUCGAUGUUGGACUAGGGAACUAAAGGGCUAGCCGCCUUUUAGUAAGGUUCUGUUCGAACUAUUAUUCCU
rnacentral:rRNA from 1 species